ensembl:snRNA U6 U6 spliceosomal RNA
GUACUUGCUCAAGCAGCACAUACGAUAAAACUGGAACAAUACAGAGAAGAUUAGUAUGGCCUCUGUGGAAGAAUGGCAUGCACGUUCAUAAAGUGUUCCAUAUUUUA